AUUGAACGCUGGCGGCAUGCCUUACACAUGCAAGUCGAACGGCAGCGGACCUUCGGGUGCCGGCGAGUGGCGAACGGGUGAGUAAUAUAUCGGAACGUACCUUUCAGUGGGGGAUAACGUAGCGAAAGUUACGCUAAUACCGCAUAUUCUGUGAGCAGGAAAGCAGGGGUUCGCAAGACCUUGCGCUGAUUGAGCGGCCGAUAUCAGAUUAGCUAGUUGGUGAGGUAAAGGCUCACCAAGGCGACGAUCUGUAGCGGGUCUGAGAGGAUGAUCCGCCACACUGGAACUGAGACACGGUCCAGACUCCUACGGGAGGCAGCAGUGGGGAAUUUUGGACAAUGGGCGCAAGCCUGAUCCAGCCAUGCCGCGUGAGUGAAGAAGGCC
rnacentral:rRNA from 1 species